rnacentral:rRNA from 1 species
UACGGGGGGGGCAAGCGUUGUUCGGAAUUACUGGGCGUAAAGGGCUCGUAGGCGGCCAACUAAGUCAGACGUGAAAUCCCUCGGCUUAACCGGGGAACUGCGUCUGAUACUGGAUGGCUCGAGUUUGGGAGAGGGAUGCGGAAUUCCAGGUGUAGCGGUGAAAUGCGUAGAUAUCUGGAGGAACACCGGCGGCGAAGGCGGGUCUCUGGGCCAUAACUGACGCUGAGGAGCGAAAGCGUGGGGAGCGAACAGG